rnacentral:rRNA from 1 species
GACGAACGCUGGCGGCGCGCCUAACACAUGCAAGUCGAACGAGCGAGCGAGAGCUUGCUUUCUCGAGCGAGUGGCGAACGGGUGAGUAACGCGUGAGGAGCCUGCCUCAAAGAGGGGGACAACAGUUGGAAACGACUGCUAAUACCGCAUAAGCCCACGGGUCGGCAUCGACCAGAGGGAAAAGGAGCAAUCCGCUUUGAGAUGGCCUCGCGUCCGAUUAGCUAGUUGGUGAGGUAACGGCCCACCAAGGCAACGAUCGGUAGCCGGACUGAGAGGUUGAACGGCCACAUUGGGACUGAGACACGGCCCAGACUCCUACGGGAGGCAGCAGUGGGGAAUAUUGCACAAUGGGGGAAACCCUGAUGCAGCGACGCCGCGUGGAGGAAGAAGGUCUUCGGAUUGUAAACUCCUGUUGUUGGGGAAGAUAAUGACGGUACCCAACAAGGAAGUGACGGCUAACUACGUG